CCCGACCUCAGAUGAUCCACCCCCUUCGGCCUCCCAAAGUGCUGGGAUUACAUGGUAAGCCACCGCGCCCAGCCUCUAUGCUUUCUUUCAAAGGGUACAUACAAUGCAUAGGAUUUGGAGAGGUGGGGAAGUGUGGAGAGAGAAGGUGUUUUUAAGAAUUUGGCAUGGAAGGACAAGCACACCUUAAUCCUCUUCCAGGCUCAACCAAAUUCCAUUCUGAAGUGUUUAAAAGCAAAGCUUUGGAAUCAGACACACCCAGGACACCAUAUGGAAACUCUUGCACAGUGCUGGGCCCAGGGGACUGCCUCUUCCCAGCUUUGGAAUCAAUUCCCUGGGACUCCUGGGAGACCAGCACCUGACGGUCAGAUAGCUUAUGAGGAGAUUUGGCCCACAGAGACCAUAAGUGCCCUCAAGCAACAAGAAAGGUGCACCCGAGCUGGCGCCUGCAGGGGAAAGGAAAUCAGAGCUUCCCAC
rnacentral:lncRNA from 1 species